CCUANGGGUGGCUGCAGGGAGGAAUAUUGCACAAUGGGCGAAAGCCUGAUGCAGCAACGCCGCGUGAAGGAAGAAGGCCUUCGGGUCGUAAACUUCUUUUGAGGGAGACGAGAAAGGACGGUAUCCCUCGAAUAAGCCACGGCUAACUACGUGCCAGCAGCCGCGGUAAAACGUAGGUGGCGAGCGUUAUCCGGAUUCAUUGGGCGUAAAGAGCUUGUAGGUGGCUGUGUAAGUUGGACGUGAAAACUCCGGGCUUAACUUGGAGAGGCCGUUCAAUACUGCGCGGCUAGAGGAUGUUAGAGGGGAGUGGAAUUCCUGGUGUAGCAGUGAAAUGCGUAGAUAUCAGGAGGAACACCCGUGGCGAAGGCGGCUCCCUGGGACAUCCCUGACACUGAGAAGCGAAAGCUAGGGGAGCAAACGGGAUUAGAUACCCGUNUANUC
rnacentral:rRNA from 1 species